GGGCGGGUGGCGGAACUGGCAGACGCACUAGCUUUAGGAGCUAGCGCCGCAAGGCGUGAGAGUUCAAAUCUCUCCCCGCCCA
rnacentral:tRNA from 1 species